rnacentral:rRNA from 1 species
GAUGAACGCUAGCGGGAGGCCUAACACAUGCAAGCCGAGCGGGAUUUGUUGGUUAGCUUGCUAACUAACAAUGAGAGCGGCGUACGGGUGCGUAGCACGUGUGCAACCUGCCUUUAUCUGGGGGAUAGCCUUUCGAAAGGAAGAUUAAUACCCCAUAACAUAUUGAUUGGCAUCAGUUAAUAUUGAAAGCUCCGGCGGAUAGAGAUGGGCACGCGUAAGAUUAGCUAGUUGGUGAGGUAACGGCUCACCAAGGCUGCGAUCUUUAGGGGGCCUGAGAGGGUGAUCCCCCACACUGGUACUGAGACACGGACCAGACUCCUACGGGAGGCAGCAGUGAGGAAUAUUGGACAAUGGGUGAGAGCCUGAUCCAGCCAUCCCGCGUGAAGGACUAAGGACCUAUGGUUUGUAAACUUCCUUUAUACAGGGAUAAACCUACUCUCGUGAGGGUAGCUGAAGGUACUGUAUGAAUAAGCACCGGCUAACUCCGUG